AUGGAGGACCCCCAGUUAGACCAGAGAAAGAUGAGCUGGGGGACUGGUGGAGGACCCCCAGUUAGACCAGAGGACUGGGGGACUGGUGGAGGACCCCCAGUUAAGCCAGAGGAGCUGGGGACUGGUGGAGGACCCCAGUUAGACCAGAUGAGCUGGCGACGGGGGGAGGACCCCAGUAAGACCAGAGGGCAAUUGGGGGACUGGUGGAGGACCCCCAGUAAGACCAGAGGCAGAUGGGGGACUGGUGGAGGACCCCCAGUUAGACCAGAGGAGCUGGGGGACUGGUGGAGGACCCCCAGUUAGACCAGAGGAUCUGGGGGACUGGUGGAGGACCCCCAGUUAGACCAGAGGAUCUGGGGGACUGGUGGAGGACCCCGGUGGACGAUGUCAUCGAUGCACUUAUUGAUGAAGCCAGUGGCUGAUGUGGUGUACUCCUCAUUGCGAUCUGAAGAAUCCUGGAACAUGUUCCAGUCUGUGCUACCAAAACAGUCCUGUAGUGUAGCAUCUGCUUCAUCUGACCACUUUUGUAUUGACUGAGUCACCGGUGCUUCUUGCUUUAAUUGUUGCUUGAAAGCCGGAAUCAGGAGGAUGGAAUUAUGGUCAGAUUUGCCAAAUGGAGGUCAAGGGAGAGCUUUGCACACAUCUCUGUGUGUGGAGUAAAGGGGUCUAGAGUUUUUUCCCUCUGGUUGCACAUUUAACAUGCUGGUAGAAAUUAGGUAAAACGGAUUUAAGUUUCCCUUUAUUAGAGUCCCCGGCCACUAGGAGCGCCGCCUCUGGAUGAGCGUUUUUCUGUUUGCUUAUGGCCUUAUUCAGCUCAUUGAGUGUGGUCUUAGUGCCAGCAUCGGUCUGUGGUGGUAAAUAGACAGCUACGAAGAAUAUAGAUUAAAACUCUCUAGGUAGAUAGCGUGGUCUACAGCUUAUCAUGAGAUACUCUACCUCAGGCAAGCAAAACCUUGAGACUUCCUUCCUUGCACCAGCUGUUGCAAAUACACAUAGACCACCACCACUUGUCUUACCAGAGGCUGCUGUUCUAUCCUGCUGAUACAGUGUAUAGACCACCACCCCUUGACUUACCAGAGGCUGCUGUUCUAUCCUACUGAUACAGUGUAUAGACCACCACCCCUUGUCUUACCAGAGGCUGCUGUUCUAUCCUGCUGAUACAGUGUAUAGACCACCAACCCUUGUCUUACCAGAGGCUGCUGUUCUAUCCUGCUGAUACAGUGUAUAACCCACCAGCUGUAUGUUUUUCAUGUCGUCAUUCAGCCACGACUCAGUGAAACAUAAGAUAUUACAGUUUUUAAUGUCCCGUUGAUGGGAUAUACAUGCUUGUAGUUUGUCCACUUUAUUAUUGAGCGAUUGUAAGUAGGCCAGUUGUACUGAUGGAAAAGGCACUCUCGUUGCCGGAUCCUCACAAGGCACCCGAUCUCCUUCCGCGACACCGCCGUUUCCCUCUCCUGCGAAUGACGGGGAUGAGGGCCUGUUCGGGUGUCUGGAAUACAUCCUUCUCGUACGAAAAAAAUGAUUUGUCCAGUUCAAGGUGAGUAAUCUCUGUUCUGAUGUCCAGAAGCUCUUUUCGGUCAUAAGAGACGGUAGCAGCAACAUUAUGUACAAAACAAGUUACAAACAAUGUCCAGUUCAAGGUGAGUAAUCUCUGUUCUGAUGUCCAGAAGCUCUUUUCGGUCAUAAGAGACGGUAGCAGCAACAUUAUGUACAAAACAAGUUACAAACAAUGCGAAAAAACAACAAAAUAGCACGGUUGGUUAAGAGCCCAUAAAACGGCAGCCAUCCCCUCCGGCGCCAUUUAUAUAUCUGUCUAUACAGCCAAUGACUCCAGGGAAGUUCCCAUAGUAAUAGAACUCUACCUUGUAGUUGGCUUGGGCAGCAGCAUCAGCGAAAUUGAUGUAAUUGUCGUUCAGUUCACAUAUAGACUUUGUGGACAUUUCUGCAUACAGUCAGUUCACUUACACUAAUCUCCUGUUUCACGAUGGAAGGUUCCAGAUGCCAAAAACCUCAAGGUGAUCAGCAGUUGUUGGGAAGGAGGGAUGGGCCUUCCCUGAAGAUAGUCAGAUGAAAGCCUUGGCUCAAGCAAACAAAUAGAUGCAUUUUCUUUGUACACACGGAAAAUGUCACAGAAAUUGAGUUCUUCAAAAUCAUUCAGUGAGUUGCUCCUGUCUUUUACCGCCCUUUUGCCUUGGAGGUGCUCUUUGAUGAUCAUUGAAAUAGUCCAGGUAAUACAUUUCCCUCCAUUGCCAAGUUCAGUCUAGGGGCCAACAUCCAUUAAUCUGAAGUUAAGCCUCUGGACAAGUCUUCACCUAGAUCUAGAUUAACUCUAAUCUUCCUUCUGGAAAUCAGAUGUUUUAAAUCUAGACUAGGGCAAGUGUGAAAAUAUUUGAAACCAUGUCUGAGAAAUUUAGUCUAGGAUUAGCCUUAAUCUGUGUCCAGGAAACCGCCCUACAAAUGGAUAACCUCUACAAGCAUGAAAUGGAAAUGUGCUUUUUACAUAUCCCAGUUUCCCCUGCGACACUGUCAGAGAGUGGGGUCACAGCCAGGGAACAGCCAUUAUUGACAGCGACCCUGGAGCAAUUAGGGUUAAGUGCCUUGCUAAAGGGCAGAUCAACCUAUUUUUCACCUUGAAGAUUCGAACUACACUGAACAAAAAUACAAAUGCAACAUGCAACAACUUCAAAGAUUUUGCUGAGUUACAGUCAAUAAGGAAAUCGUUCAAUUAAAAUAAUUUCAUUAGGCCCUAAUCUAUGGAUUUCACAUAGAAACCUUAUUUUUCCUGCUCAAUGGUCUAACCGCUAGGCUACCUGCCGCCACACCAAUCCACCUAUCAGCAUCCAGCAUCACACCAACCCACUUAUCAACACACAGUACCACACCAACCCACCUAUCAGCAUCCAUAACCCAUCAUUUUCUUUCUAGGGUUCUUUCUGCUCUGAUCUCCUCUCUGUCUCCCUCAGGCCUGUUUUCUAGGGUAUGAAUUGGCGUUAGAGUGUCUAAAUUGGCUGGCUCCCACCUGGUGAAGUCUCCUGCUAUGACCUGUCAUUAAGAGGUUGUAACCUGCAUUGACCUGUCGCUGUCUUCAGACUGGACUCUUCUCUUGACCUCAGUUUCAUGCUUCCCAAAUGGCACACUAUUCCCUAUAUAGUGCACUACUUUUGCCUAGGGCCUGUAGGUAAUAGGGCUCUGGUCAGUUUUGCACUAUAUAGGGAAAGUAGUGAACUAUAUAGGGAAUAGGGUGAUGGUUUUUGUUGUUGUAUUUAACCUUUAUUUAACUAGUCAUGGUUUUUCAUGACAACAACAAUGUGAAUUCUUGUCCUCCUUGUUGUUAAUGUGGUUCUAAAAAUAUAUUCACUGAUGUUUCAGUUUGACAUCUUGUCCUGUUUCGGUUUGACAUCUUGUCCUGUUUCAGUUUGACAUCUUGUCCUGUUUCGGUUUGACAUCUUGUCCUGUUUCGGUUUGACAUCUUGUCCUGUUUCAGUUUGACAUCUUGUCCUGUUUCGGUUUGACAUCUUGUCCUGUUUCAGUUUGACAUCUUGUCCUGUUUCAGUUUGACAGCUGUCCGGUUCAUUUGAAACAGCUUUGUCUCUGUUUUCAUUUGACAC
rnacentral:lncRNA from 1 species